rnacentral:rRNA from 1 species
CCUACGGGAGGCAGCAGUGGGGAAUCUUGCACAAUGGGGGAAACCCUGAUGCAGCGACGCCGCGUGAGUGAAGAAGUAUUUCGGUGCGUAAAGCUCUAUCAGCAGGGAAGAAAUAAAGUCCUUUGGACUUUGGACGGUACCUGGCUAAGAAGCCGCGGCUAACUACGUGCCAGCAGCCGCGGUAAUACGUAGGGGGCAAGCGUUAGCCGGAUUUACUGGGCGUAAAGGGGGCGUAGACGGCAGUGCAAGUCAGGAGUUAAAUCCUAGGGCUUAACUAUGGAAAGGCUUUGGAUACGAUACUGCUAGAGUAUCAGAGAGGAAUGCAGAAUUCCUGGUGUAGCGGUGAAAUGCGUAGAUAUUAGGAGGAAUACCGUUAGCGAAGGCGGCAAACUGGCUUGAAACUGACGCUGAGGUGCGAAAGCGUGGGGAGCAAACAGGAUUAGAUACCCUAGUAGUC